GUCCGUGGUCCAUUUGAAAGGUACACCAUGCCUCCAAAGGUGACAGCAUCACAUGAAAAAUGCAGAUUUGGGAUAUACACUUUUGAUGAUAUUUCAGGAUGGACUACGGACACUUGAGGUGCUGGACAAAAUCCAAGCUCACCCAGAGAGUUUUCGCACCCUUCUAUGCUGGUCACCUUCAGUGCUUACAGCUGACCUUCUUGACAGCCUCUUUACCAUCCGCCUUUCUCCAGCUGGGAGCAAUAAAAGGCAUGCUGAAGCAGUUGUCAUUAGUUUCUGGAGAGACUACCUAACAGAUGCAGAAG
ensembl:lncRNA